UGACCAACUUUCAACAUUGAAAUAUGGCUGAAAUAAGGUCAGUUGUUUUAAUGAAACAACGUUAAAAAUGUUUAAUGCUAAAUGGUAGAAAAAGGUUAACAAGCUUUUAAAUUAUUUAUAUUAAAUUAUUUAAAUUAAUUAUUUUAAUAGCAUUUUAAAAUAUUUUAGUCAUGAUACCUAUUCUAAAAUCUAAAGGUAUAUGUUAAAUAUUAUCAUCAUUAACAACAAUGAAACUAUAUACAUUUCGCUGCUUUAUCACACUGAAACAACUCCCAUUGGUAGUUUUAUUUUAUUACUUCUAUCAUGAUUGGUUAAUCUGGCUGUCAUUCAGGAAACUGGACAAUGAAUCGGUUCGCGCCUUUCUACAUUUAAAAAUAUGACCGUUAUUGUCGUCUUUCUGUGAGUGAGGCGGCUAACUGUGAGCUGCUGCUCGUUAUAACUGACUGCUCUAUCGGUCCCGAAUUAUUUCAUAUUUGCCUGUACAUUUUUUAUUUAUUUUGAGCGAAUUUGAGUCGUGACAUGUCAAUGGAGAACAAAAACCGUGAACACAAGAAGGGUCAGGUGUUCUGCGAGGUCCUGAAAACAUCCUGUCAAAAUGAGAGUCAUCGAGGAUCCAGCUUGUUCUUGAAACAUUGAAGUUUGCACUCUGCAAGUGAACGACGCCUUGUGGUGCCAUCCCAAAGAAGUUCACAAUCACUCUCACGGUCCUUUUCCUGGACUGUGCCCAGCUGGUGGAAUGACCUCCCAAUCUCAAUCCGAACUGCUGAGUCUUUACUCAUUUUCAAGAAACAUUUUAAGACUCAUCUUUUUCACCGGAACUUAACCAACUAAUGCUAGCACUUUUCCUUCUUUUCUUGUCUUUCAUAUAAAAAAAAAUAAAAAAUAAAAAAAACUAGAGCCCGACCGAUAUGGAUUUUUGGGGGCCGAUGCCGAUAUUAACUUGAAAAGAGCCGAUUUAUAAGCCGAUAUUUUGAUUUUGAAAAUAAACUGGAUAUUAGACCCAUUUCCUAUAAGCUGCACUCACAUAACAUUCAAUGGCAAAAUAUCUGCCUGUUCUAUGUAUGUGGGCUGUAUAAACCAUUUUCCAGAAGGGAUUUAUGUAAAAAAAAGCCUUAGAUUAUAGUCUCAAUGACUAAACAAUUGCACAUCAAAAGUAUAUAUUUUUUAACGAUCAAAAAACAGUCUGAUUUUAAACAUUUAACACUUUUACUUUCUUCCAGUUGAAGCUGAUUUUAACAGUCUGUGUGUGUACUGUAAAUAAAUUAUAAUACUAAAGUUAAAGUUAAAGUAUUUGCAGAAGUAGUCCCACACUUUUGCUGCUACAUCAUUCACCUUUUUCAGCCAUCUGUAGGGCAGAAAGAGAGACAUAGAAAGAAUAAGCAUGUGUAUUAAUAAUAUCACCAUGUAUCAUUACUCAUGUCAUCAUUAGAAUUAUAAUAAUAAUAAACAGGGAUCUCCUACAUAGGCAAAAAUGAGAAAUAUAUAUAUAUAUUUUUAUUUGUCAAGCAAUAGGUAUUAACCUCCUUAUAUUUAACAAUAUUAUUUCAACAUUUUCCUGUUAUGUCUGUAAAGCUGCUUUGAAACAAUAUGUAAGAAAAAAAAAGAAAAGAAAAAAGCGCUUGUUCAGCUCACAUUUAUUUACAUGUCCCCUCUGAUUUAAUCAUUUCUGACGCACCUACUGUAGUUACUGUAACUACACUAUAUUUGCUCUCACAGACACAUUCACAACGGACCCGUAUAUCUUCUCCUCUUCUCUUUGUGCAGUCUGAAUCAAAAUGGUUAACGUUAGUGCCAUGAACACACCGCUGUCAAUUUUGAGAAGAACCACCUUCAAACAAGUUAAUAGCAAGCAUUUAAGGGGCCUGCUAAAAAGGAAGCUAUAUUAGCGUUAGAGUAACGUAACCAGCCUGAAUUCACCAAAUUGUUCCCUGGGCCUGAGGGUAGCCUCUUCUUCCUUGCUUCUCUCUUAAUUCUCAUCAGCAGGACUAGCGCUAUCGCUCGCUUCUUACAACGGGACAGAUACAUGUUUGCUGCUGACCGAAAAGAGGAACAACAGACUAUGAAAGAGCUCCCGCUAAAAGUUUUUAAAACUCCGCCUACGCCAUAGCGCAGAGCAGGGCAAAUCGCGUUGUAUCUGAAGGGCAACGCUAAACCCAGCGGCCAAGCGCUGUGCAUACCGCGUCCUGUGUGAAAGGCCCAUUACGCGGUCAUUAUGUGGGAAACACACCGCAAUAGAAUAAGCACUAAACGCUAACUUUAUAGUUCGACCUCUUAUUAACGUUCGCGCUCUUCCACUGAUAAACAUGGUAUUAGCUUUGUGGCUAAUCUAAUAUAGCAAUGCAUUAGCGGCUGUAAGUGAUGUUACAGAAUAUUUAGAAGUGAUAAUGAUAGGACCGUUAACUAGAACUACCACACCGUUUUUAUAUACAGUGUAUGAACUAAAUCUACAAUCAUUUCACAUGACGAACGACAGACUCACCUGGGUGGCUUGGCUGAUCGCUUUCUUCUUUGUGGAUUUCUGGCGCUGUUGCAACUCUGGAGCUGCAGACCGCCCUCUGGUGGGCAAACUAUGCAACACUCAUAACAUGAGUGAAGAAUAUGAGACUGUUUCUCAUGUUUCAUCGGCCGUUAUAAACGCCGAUGCCGAUUUAAAUGCAAUUAGCUCAUAUCGGCCGAUAAUAUCGGCCGGCCGAUAUAUCGGUCGGGCUCUAAAA